ACUCCUACGGGAGGCAGCAGUGGGGAAUUUUGGACAAUGGGGGCAACCCUGAUCCAGCCAUUCCGCGUGAGUGAAGAAGGCCUUCGGGUUGUAAAGCUCUUUCAGCAGGAGCGAAACGGUCGUUUUUAAUACAGACGGCUAAUGACGGUACCUGCAGAAGAAGCACCGGCUAACUACGUGCCAGCAGCCGCGGUAAUACGUAGGGUGCGAGCGUUAAUCGGAAUUACUGGGCGUAAAGCGUGCGCAGGCGGCGACAUAAGACAGAUGUGAAAUCCCCGGGCUCAACCUGGGAACUGCGUUUGUGACUGUGUUGCUAGAGUGUAGCAGAGGGGGGUGGAAUUCCACGUGUAGCAGUGAAAUGCGUAGAGAUGUGGAGGAACACCGAUGGCGAAGGCAGCCCCCUGGGUUAACACUGACGCUCAUGCACGAAAGCGUGGGGAGCAAACAGGAUUAGAUACCCUGGUAGUCCACGCCCUAAACGAUGCCAACUAGGUGUUGGGGAAGGAGACUUCCUUAGUACCGUAGCUAACGCGUGAAGUUGGCCGCCUGGGGAGUACGGUCGCAAGAUUAAAACUCAAAGGAAUUGACGGGG
rnacentral:rRNA from 1 species